UAACUGCUGUUUAUAAUCAACUGCCGUUUGUGUGCAAUCAGCUCAAUCAGACUUCACUACAGCAAAAGUUUUAUCUUUUUCUCUCUUAAAAUGUGAUUAUUUUAUGAAUAAAAUUAAAUUGUCACUUUGCCUUUAAAACCUUUACCUCUUAUUUGAACCAACCUUAUUUUAUGUCAAGGUAUCCGUCAGUUUACCCUGUAGGUAUCCUCUCAGUUUACCCUGUAGGUAUCCAUCAGUUUACCCUGUAGGUAUCCGUCAGUUUACCCUGUAGGUAUCCUCUCAGUUUACCCUGUAGGUAUCAUCUCAGUUUACCCUGUAGGUAUCCGUCAGUUUACCCUGUAGGUAUCCAUCAGUGUACCCUGUAGGUAUCCAUCAGUUUACCCUGUAGGUAUCCUCUCAGUUUACCCUGUAGGUAUCAUCUCAGUUUACCCUGUAGGUAUCCGUCAGUUUACCCUGUAGGUAUCCAUCAGUGUACCCUGUAGGUAUCCAUCAGUUUACCCUGUAGGUAUCCUCUCAGUUUACCCUGUAGGUAUCAUCUCAGUUUACCCUGUAGGUAUUCGUCAGUUUACCCUGUAGGUAUCCAUCAGUGUACCCUGUAGGUAUCCUCUCAGUUUACCCUGUAGGUAUCCUCUCAGUGUACCCUGUAGGUAUCCUCUCAGUUUACCCUGUAGGUAUCCUCUCAGUUUACCCUGUAGGUAUCCAUCAGUGUACCCUGUAGGUAUCCAUCAGUUUACCCUGUAGGUAUCCUCUCAGUUUACCCUGUAGGUAUCCUCUCAGUGUACCCUGUAGGUAUCCUCUCAGUUUACCCUGUAGGUAUCCGUCAGUUUACCCUGUAGGUAUCCAUCAGUGUACCCUGUAGGUAUCCAUCAGUUUACCCUGUAGGUAUCCUCUCAGUUUACCCUGUAGGUAUCAUCUCAGUGUACCCUGUAGGUAUCCAUCAGUUUACCCUGUAGGUAUCCUCUCAGUGUACCCUGUAGGUAUCCGUCAGUUUACCCUGUAGGUAUCCUCUCAGUUUACCCUGUAGGUAUCCUCUCAGUGUACCCUGUAGGUAUCCAUCAGUGUACUCUGUAGGUAUCGGUCAGUUUAUCCUGUAGGUAUCGGUCAGUGUACCCUGUAGGUAUCCGUCAGUUUACCCUGUAGGUAUCCGUCAGUUUACCCUGUAGGUAUCCUCUCAGUUUACCCUGUAGGUAUCCGUCAGUUUACCCUGUAGGUAUCCUCUCAGUUUACCCUGUAGGUAUCCGUCAGUGUACCCUGUAGGUAUCGGUCAGUGUACCCUGUAGGUAUCGGUCAGUUUACCCUGUAGGUAUCCGUCAGUUUACCCUGUAGGUAUCCUCUCAGUUUACCCUGUAGGUAUCGGUCAGUGUACCCUGUAGGUAUCGGUCAGUUUACCCUGUAGGUAUCCGUCAGUGUACCCUGUAGGUAUCGGUCAGUUUACCCUGUAGGUAUCGGUCAGUUUACCCUGUAGGUAUCCGUCAGUUUACCCUGUAGGUAUCCGUCAGUUUACCCUGUAGGUAUCCGUCAGUUUACCCUGUAGGUAUCGGUCAGUUUACCCUGUAGGUAUCCGUCAGUUUACCCUGUAGGUAUCCUCUCAGUUUACCCUGUAGGUAUCAUCUCAGUUUACCCUGUAGGUAUCCGUCAGUUUACCCUGUAGGUAUCCUCUCAGUUUACCCUGUAGGUAUCCUCUCAGUUUACCCUGUAGGUAUCCGUCAGUUUACCCUGUAGGUAUCCGUCAGUUUACCCUGUAGGUAUCGGUCAGUUUACCCUGUAGGUAUCGGUCAGUUUACCCUGUAGGUAUCCUCUCAGUUUACCCUGUAGGUAUCCGUCAGUUUACCCUGUAGGUAUCCAUCAGUUUACCCUGUAUCUUGUCACCUAAAUCCUCACACUGACCCAAUGUGACACUUACAGUACCUGUGUCAGAGACUCACCUCUUUCUGCAUCGUUGGAAGAUAACUCUAUUUGAAAACUGAGUUGGAUUAGAGCUACGGCGUUACGCUACUGGAGUUGAGUUGGAUUAGAGCUACGGCCUUACGCUACUGGAGUUGAGUUGGAUUAGAGCUACGGCCUUACGCUACUGGAGUUGAGUUGGAUUAAAGCUACGGCCUUACGCUACUGGAGUUGAGUUGGAUUAGAGCUACGGCCUUACGCUACUGGAGUUGAGUUGGAUUAGAGCUACGGCCUUACGCUACUGGAGUUGAGUUGGAUUAGAGCUACGGCCUUACGCUACUGGAGUUGAGUUGGAUUAGAGCUACAGCGUUACGCUACUGGAGUUGAGUUGGAUUAGAGCUACGGCCUUACGCUACUGGAGUUGAGUUGGAUUAGAGCUACGGCCUUACGCUACUGGAGUUGAGUUGGAUUAGAGCUACGGCCUUACGCUACUGGAGUUGAGUUGGAUUAGAGCUACAGCCUUACGCUACUGGAGUUGAGUUGGAUUAGAGCUACGGCCUUACGCUACUGGAGUUGCAUUGUACGGUACUUAAUGUGUGUGCAUGGUGUGAAUAUCGGGCUCCAAUCCAAUGCUCUAAACCUGAUAUUUGAAAACAAGACAUUUUAGAAAUGAAUUGAAAUUAUUCAUUUUAAUGAUUAAGGAUAGAGUGUGUUGAAGUUUCUACUUUAUCCAUAUUUAUAACAUGUUUUUUAUCUCCUGAAAUUCCACACCAUUGAUCUAACGUGUCUUGCUGUUAAAGGUGUUGAAAGAUAUACAGUACAGAGUAACCACAUGUGAUUUCCGUUUUUAGUUCUCUCUCUGAAAUACAACAGAACCUGAUGUCCCACCAUUCAUGUGACAUGUCUGGUAGGUUACUGUAAAUGUGACAUGUCUGGUAUGUUACUGUAAAUGUGACAUGUAUGGUAGGUUACUGUAAAUGUGACAUGUAUGGUAGGCGACUGUAAAUGUGACAAGUAUGUUACUGUAAAUGUGACAUGUAUGGUAUGUUACUGUAAAUGUGACAUGUAUGGUAUGUUACUGUAAAUGUGACAUGCAUGGUAGGUUACUGUAAAUGUGACAUGUCUGGUAGGUUACUGUAAAUGUGACAUGUCUGGUAGGUUACUGUAAAUGUGACAUGUAUGGUAUGUUACUGUAAAUGUGACAUGCAUGGUAGGUUACUGUAAAUGUGACAUGUCUGGUAGGUUACUGUAAAUGUGACAUGUCUGGUAGGUUACUGUAAAUGUGACAUGUCUGGUAGGUUACUGUAAAUGUGACAUGCAUGGUAGGUUACUGUAAAUGUCACAUGUAUGGUAGGUUACUGUAAAUGUCACAUGUAUGGUAGGUUACUGUAAAUGUCACAUGUAUGGUAGGUUACUGUAAAUGUGACAUGUCUGGUAGGUUACUGUAAAUGUGACAUGUCUGGUAGUUUACUGUAAAUGUGACAUGUCUGGUAGGUUACUGUAAAUGUGACAUGUCUGGUAGGUUACUGUAAAUGUGACAUGUCUGGUAGGUUACUGUAAAUGUGACAUGUCUGGUAGGUUACUGUAAAUGUGACAUGUCUGGUAGGUUACUGUAAAUGUGACAUGUAUGGUAGGUUACUGUAAAUGUCACAUGUCUGGUAGGUUACUGUAAAUGUGACAUGUCUGGUAGGUUACUGUAUCUGGCAGGGUUCAAACCGUGUAUUACAAUACCCACAGCUCUUACAUUCUGAAGCACAACUCUUGUUUCAGAACGCUGGUUGUAAAUACUGUCUCGUGUUUCUGUACAUUUGAAUUAGGCUGACUUGAUCGUCUUUCCAUUGGUUUAGUGUCAAUUUAAACUGUCAUUUUGAAUUGUAUGACUGCAAGGUAUGUUUAGAUUGUUUUGGUGUACGUAUGAUCAUUAACGCAUAUUGUCGUGCAGCACGACAUACACUUGGAGAAUUUGUACAUUACAGGGCUAUUUUAACGGCAAUGGUUGAAAAAUAUGACAUUGCUCAGAAUAUCGCUCUAAUCUUGGGUUUUAAUGCGGUUGAUUUAAUAAAAUAAAUGAUAUUCUGUUGCUGUAAAAGGAACUGAUCUGCUGUUGAAUAUCUUCUGAUAAUGGUGGUUAACAAAAAGCUACAACAAACUUUUGGUCAAUUCAGGUUUUUCUUCUACUUUGUUCAUGUUCUUUUAAUGUGUACAUUAUUAUUAUUGUUAUUAUUAUAUAUAUUUUUUUGCGUUUGGUUUUGAUAUUACAUACAGACAGGAAAUCCAAGUUUGCUCACUUACAUGAGUGGUCAAAAGUAGUGCACUACAUAGGGAAUAGGAUGCCAUUUUGAACUAAAUUAGAGUAGAUUAAUACGUUGUGUGUGUGUGGCAAGGAACAUAGUCCCUGUGGUGCAGGGUAGGCAACCCUGUUCCUAAAGGGCCUCAGGUACAGCAGGAUAUGGUUCCAACUACGCGCCACAUCUGACCAACUGAACUAAUUGAUCAGUUCAGUGAUUGCCUAAAUUCAUCACACCUGGUCUUCUAGGUUGGUUAAAUCCAAACAUGAAGUGCCUGCGGGAGGGUUGCCUUACCCUACUGUGGUGCUAUGAUAAAGGCCCUAUUCAGGAAGUGUCUCAUAAAUGGCUAAUACAGUCUUGUGACCGCUGACCUGGAUUCGAAUCCUAGUCGGUGUCACCUUUCACACAGCACCAGGACCUGUAGUCUUAAAGCAUCUCACAGUAGGAGUGCUGAUCUAGAAUCAGUGCAUGCUUUUACAUCAUAAUAAGUAAGAUUACAGUAUAUGGACAGGAUCGAUCUGAUCCUAGAUCAGCACUUAUAUUCUAAGACGCUUUGUGAAUAUGGGCCCAGAGUUAAAUUAAUAGUUUCUUGGAUGUGGCAUUUCUGUAAAAAAAUAAAUAAUAAUAAUCAGUAUUUGGGAAUAUUUUUGUACAAAUCUGAAUCGGUAAUGUACACAUUUUCAGUGUCAUUAAAGCGUUUUCAAUUGUCUAA